GCUUAUCCUAAUGGAUGCGGCCCACGGCCUCCCGUAGUUGGUUCCCGUGACAUUUCGGCCUUUUUCCCCCACGCCGAAGAUCCAUCUACACGGGCUCCUUCACCACUGAGGCCAAUCAACGGUAACCGGACGGGCCCAUCUACACGGGCUGCUUCUCCAGCUGAGCUUCUUGCUGUUGGGCCCGUGACGAAGCACACGGCCCGCUGAAGCCUCUGCUCGUGGGGACGGACGGAGCGAGGCGAGCGCCUUCGCCGUGCCGCGUCGCGCGGAGCGGCGGCCGGCCGAACAAGCCGGCCGGCGGGGCGCGGCGUGCGUGCACCCACUCUCGGCACGGCGGUGAGCUCCUCCUCCUAACUCGGCUACUCCCUUCAACCGCCGCGUCGGCUCCGCUCCGGCCGCCGACCCCUUCUGCACCGUUGGGUUCGGGGGGUUGCCGGGUUGGGGGAAGGCGGCUCCUCCUCGCCGGCGCUGCUCGGUUCGAUUCGGAGGGGGAGGAGACCAGCCGCGAGCACUGUAGUGGCGAUGUGACGCCCCUUCCCUUACCAGUAACCAUGAUUAACCCUAACACGAUCCUAGUUGAUGGCUGGGCAUGGGCAGAACUGCACAAGUAGUGCUUGGAGUUGGCAAGGGAAUUUUAUAGAGGGAUUCUGCGAAAUCGAGUGAAAGGAAUAGUUAUGUUUGCAUCGUACUUUGAUUGGUACAAUCGGCUCUCUCUUCAAAGUUUUUAUCGAUUAUUACCCCCUUAUUGCAGUGCCUCACUUGGUCAUAGCUAUCUUUUGUUCAUUUAUUAGAUAAGUGAUGUCCCAGCAUUGUCGUUUCAGACAUUCUGUAAGUAUUCCACUGUCUACCUCUCCAAUACACAAUCACUUGAUUUUGAGUUCUCUAUGGUUCCCGGCAGUUGACUUCACAGAUCUAGUAGUGCUAUGCUUUACACUUACAGCUGCUGUGCAAUAGAUUUUUGUUUUGGCUCCUACUAUUGUGAACUCAACGAAAUAGUUUCCAUCAAAUAGAAAGUGAAAUACAGGGGUCAAAUAAUUUCAAGGGAAAUAAAAGAUAUUGGAGUUCAGUACUUUUUGCAGUAACAAUAACCUGUCAGGGUUGCAUGACAGAAGUCAUAUUCCCUGAAGGGCUGAAUGGGGAGAUGAAUCUUCCCUGAUUUUCAUAUACUCUUAGGCUUUAUAAUAAUGAUAGCCUCUGAAUAAACCCUUCAAAAUGUUAAGUUUGACUAGGAUAGUGAUUGACAGCAUCGAUGUAAGUGAAUGAUUAUUUUGUUUUUGAACAAUCUUUCAUGCAUCACAUCCAGCUUGCACUGUCAUCAUGUAAACGUUAUUUAGGUCAGUAGUCAAGUUGUUAAGGGCAUGUAAGUUUGUUUCAUUAUUGUUUAAAGUAGGCUUUAGCAUAUACUGCAAGUUAUGUCUGGUGAAGCAAUAAUAAUUUAUUUGAUGUGACGUGUGUAAAAUAUGAUAAGGAGGAUUACCGUGUGAAACUCAAGCUAACAUAGUUUUUUCAGUUUGUUUUAUACUUUAUAUGUGGGACCCAAACUAGUAAUAUUGAACUUAUUUCUACAUGCUUCAAUACAUAACAACUCUAUACAACAAUGACUUCCAUAUAUUUAUUAUUCAUUUGUAAGCCAGUUAGUCCUAAAAGAAACAAGGAAAUAUGUGGAGCUAUUUUGAUCACUGAUUCCUCUGAUUCUGUUCUUUUUCCUUUUUUUCUUUACCCCCUGUGGGUAAUUAUAUAUAUAAGAAUUGAUGAUAUGUGAUUCGAUGACUUAUUUGGAAUAAUCCUUUGAGUUUCAUCUGUUCUAUUGAUAUCUAUACUACAUCAGUUUCUGUCCAAAUGUUUAUUUCAGGUGAAGAAUCUUACACUGGCAUUUGCUGUUCGAGUAGCUGCGUGACUCUUAUCAGAACUCCGGCAUAUCAAUUGAUGAGGCCCAACUUGAUGGAUUGCUGGGGUGCCAUGUGUGCUAUGGUCAUGGAAGAAGGAUUUUGCACGCUGUAAAUAAAGUUUUUUCACCACCUAACACUAACGGAUAUCAGAAAGAGUUUCCUAGUGCACUACAGCAUCGGUGCGCUCGCCUAAUCAUGAGACAAGACAACCAGAGCAACGGUGGCAAUUCUACAUGUAAUUGAGCACAUUAAGGGAAUCUUUGCUGGAACCAUGAUGUACAAGCGAAAUGUUGGCACUUUAACCUAAUGAGAAGGAAACUAGUAGUUCUGAUUAUCACAUGGGUCAGGCUCUUAUUUGAGUAUGGAUGAGAUGCCCAAGAUAAAAAUACCUUGGGACACUGGAAGCCGAUAUGCAAGUUGGAAUAUAUGAUUUUAGUCCUGCCCAGAUAUGCUUGUGACUUUUAUCUGCUUUUACUUAAAUCCUGGCCCAGAUUCCAGCACUUCAUUUUCCUCGCCAAUCAAGUGAUGAUGCGUAUUUGAGUACAUGCAUCUAUAAUCUGACGGCAUCAAGGAACCUGUAUUAUGGCGUACAAGUGCUCACAGGGACAACCAAAUUGGCCGGCUAUCUUUCAUUGUGGUCGUUGAAGUAUUGUUGUCAACAGUUGGUCCUAGCUUCACUUGUUGGGUAGGUGCUGCUAAAAGGUUAAUGGAAGUGCACCAUUUAGCUAGCUUUGUACAGAUGCACACCACACAAGGGAUUAUGGAAAGGGGAAAACAGUUGGCAGGAUUAACAUCUCGAGCCAUUGACAGCUCCAUCCUGGACACAACAAUCUUGGAUUGUUGCUGUAACAGAAAUGGUCCUACCCCUUGCACAGGCUAAAGCCAGUUCAAGCUUUUCUCUGAAGAAAGAAGGUUCCUUUUCAUCGAAUAAGGGAAGGAAUCCAAGCAUGCAUCCAGCCUCUGAUCUGCCGAUUAGAUCGAAGCUGUUUCUUCAGGGGCAAGUACUAAUGAUUCAACGAGCUUCAGGCUCACGCCUCGGCAUGUGACCCGAUCGGAUGGAUUUACGCAAGGUUUUGUGGCUAACCAAACCUGAUGACUUGGUGGUCCAGAUGGACAACACAAGCUAACUAGAUAUACAUGUGGUUUAUCUCUCAAGGAUCGAUGGAUCUGCUUAAUUAGUUAUCUCUCCUAUGCAUCCAAGCUUGAAGAGGACAAGGGAAAAAGAUGUCUAAUUUCAGAUCGUCUCUCCAGCAACACGUACGGGACCAUGAUAAUGUAUGGGUUUCCGUUUGGACCAUCAUCGAUCGCCGCGGCUCACCGGCGUGCACAGUGGGAGCCGCCGGCUGGACCAUGGUUCACAUAUAUAGCAAGGGGCCAUUUGGACGCAUCUCCCUGUUUAACUGGUUUGAUUAGUCAUGCCAGACAAGGUUUGCCUUAUUAAACCCUUUCAUUGGUUGACAGAGCUCACAUUAUUUAAUUUUCUUAAAGAAAUGGUCACACCCCUGGCUAAAAAGAAUUGUUCAGGUAAUCCAUCAGGUGCUUUGUUUUCCUAAUUAAUUCGCAAAUUUAUAUACAACAUGUUGUAAUAUAAUCUACUCUAGAAUUUUUUUAUCACAAUAGCUAGGUAUAUGUUCCAGUUGAACUAUUGCAAUCAGCUUUAACUUUGAUAUUUUUUUUACAUAAUAAAGUAGUUAAUUAGAGUUUUUUUUAAACAUUUGGGAUAUUAAAAAGUCCCAGGUAUCCCUGCGGCAGGGCCUUUAAAGGGUAAUUUGAAAUACACGUUGGUGAGGCUUCUUUUGGUAAAUUCUUGGUGCACACAGCAGCCAUGCAUGCAUAUAUAACUAAGUUAGCAUUGCAGCUUUGUGCGACACUGACACCACAGAACACGACACACAGAGCUCAUCCCGACGUUGGAGGGAACCCUUUUUUUUAAUUAUUUUCCUAUCUUUUUAUUUGUUUCAGCCGUGCUGCACUGGAAAAGGUCCCUGGAAUCGCCGCAACUUUACAGAUCUCAACAGGUUGGCAGAUGAUGAAUUGGCCCUCCUACGCAUUGGACAUAUGACUUAAUAGUUACUACCACCAUGACAAGAUAAAAAGCCAGUGGUAAAAAAAUAAAGGAACAAAAGCUAAGGGAGCACAAGUAGGAAGCAAGGUGGCAUUGUGUGGGCUCCUCCUGGACAUGUCUGUUCCUAAUUUCCUAUCUCUCCCUCUUUUUUAACUUUCUCACCAUCCCAUGUGCAACAUUCAGCCUGCAGCCAGAAGAAAGUAGAGUGUAGAGCCAAGCUCUCCCUUCUCAUGCCAAUUGCCCAAGAAGCUAUGAAGAGUGUGAGAAAAGAUGCAUGAAUAGUGUGUACUAGGGAAUUAGAGUGUAGAUGUAGCUCAUGUAAAUCUAUUGUCAUAAGAUAGCAAACAUUAUCAAACACGAUAAACUUAUAUAAUAAAUUUAUCACUCUUCUUUUAAGAUAAUGGAUAGAUUUAUCACUAAAUUAUUGCAACGUGUAUGCAUAGUGCACUAUCUUGACAGUGUAUUAUACGGCCCUCCUAGUGUUUCCCUUCACAAAAGAAAAUAGUGGAAAUGUUGCAUUCAAAUCCACAAAUAUAAUGUACUCCUAGGUACAUGGCACGUACGCGAGCCACCAUCUUAGAAUUAGCUCCAUCCCUCUCCGAAUCCCUCUUAGAAUACGAAAAUUUUUACCUCUCUAACAAAAAUUCUUUAAAAUCCUGAGAUCGAACUCCUGUAUUUAGAAUAUGAAACUAUUCCAUUUCAUAUCAAAAAUCCUAAAAUUAUUAUUCCCACCUUAGAACUGAUGAUGCUGCUACUACUACAUACUCCCUCCGUCCAAAAAAAAACUUAACAUAUGAGAUGUGACCCUUUCUGGUACAACCUUAGAACUGAUGAUGCUGCUACUACUACAUACUCCCUCCGUCCAAAAAAAACUUAACAUAGUAUGAGAUGUGACCCUUUCUGAUACAACGAAUUUGGACAACCCUCAGUCUAGAUGUGAUUCUUUUUGGUACAAUGAAUUUGGACAACCCUCUAUUCAAAUUCGUUGUAUUAGGAGAAAAAGUUAUAUUUUCUUUUAAGUUAUUUUUUGUUUUGGGACCGAGGGAGUAGAGCUAGAGCUACGAAGGGCAGCAAGGUGAACGAGCGCGCGCCCUGCAACCUCCACGUUCUCCCAUAAUUUAAACAGGAGGCAUCAAUCCCACAGCUCCAUUCUUUUUAACCUUUUAUGGCAGACACAUCACCCCACACUUCAACCGUUUUUAUACGGAUCCCCAGCCACAGCCAAGCCAGCCUGACCCCAAAACUAAUUUUGUAUGCUUGCCAAAGGAUCAGCCAUACUCACUAUAGCUAGGCAACCCCCCCCCCCCCCCUGCUGGCUCUAACUCCGAGGCAUCCAAGCCUAAAACUACAGUGGUAGGGUAUCUCACGUACUAGGAGCACAAUUUUAAUUACAGGACUAGUGCUACUGGGAGUAGUAUACAGUAGCAUAGUGUGUAUAAAAGUGUGGUUUAAGUAGCAAGAAUUUGUGCAAGUGAUAAUUAAUCAAGUGUCACUUUGUAGCACAUGCUCUCUUAGCUAGCACUCGAAGUUGUCAUGAUAGGGCGAUCUACACAAGAUCCUUCUACUAGUUGAUUUUGUGCUGGCAAUUUAAGUUGAUCAAGAUCAUACCGAAUUUUAUCUUUUGAUCUACCUAAAUUUUUGCAGGCAUUUUUUUUAUUUACAUGCAUGCAUGCAUAUGACAACAUACCGUGACAUCUAGCUUGGAUGCUACCUAGUUAUUUUAAUGAGUUUACCUCGGUUAUAAUUUGAUAAUUACUUGCUUUAAAUUUUAUACCCUAUAUAUCAAGCCUUCCUUGUGCUAUACUAAUCUUUGGCAUGUGAGGGCUAUCUCCCCAUGCUUAUACUAAUCGUGGCAUAGCAAUUUAUAUUAAUAUUUGAAAGAUCGAGAUCGAUCCUUAUGGGAUCUAAAACUAAAAAGUUUACAAUAAAUUAAGCAUUGGAUCCUAGAGUAUAACCAGAGCUGCACAUGUAAUUUAAAUCGUUGCAUCUGCCUCUAAUCCUUCUUUUCUCUAAAAAUAAAUAAAGUAGACAAAGAGCAUCACACUUAUUUAGAAAGAAUGCUGGUAUAAGAAUAGCAAGAAUGUAACAUAUAAUAUGUCGCGAGUAUACACUGUAAAACUUCGGUAACAACAGUUUGGGAAAGGAAGAAAAAAAAACUCAGGUAAUACAUAAUGGACAGUUUAGGUAAUUAGAAAAAACAAAACAAAACAUAUAAAAGAAGGAGAGAAAAGAGAAAAAAAAGAGAAAUGGGAAAAAUUCCGGCAUACACCAGCACCAGCUCUCUUGCUUUUUCACUGCCACUUCACUUGAUGAGCACAUCUUUAAUUUUUCACCUUCGAUUUUUUUUUCACCGCGCCCUUGCAACAUGCCACAGUAGAUCGAGCAGUAGUACACAUAGCCAAACAAAUUUUUACCGAGGUGUAAUAAUUUGUAACAACCACAACCACCGCAACAUUUUGCAUAUAUACCCUUGUCUUCCUUUUUUUUUAACCGCGAGAGCGAGGUGUUAUUACCGCUCCUCUGUGCCGUUUUUCACCGCACCAA